rnacentral:rRNA from 1 species
CCUACGGGGGACAGCAGUGAGGAAUAUUGGUCAAUGGGCGCGAGCCUGAACCAGCCAAGUAGCGUGAAGGAUGACUGCCCUACGGGUUGUAAACUUCUGUUAUAAAGGAAUAAAGUGAGGCACGUGUGCGUUUUUGUAUGUACUUUAUGAAUAAGGAUCGGCUAACUCCGUGCCAGGAGCCGCGGUAAUACGGAGGAUCCGAGCGUUAUCCGGAUUUAUUGGGGUGAAAGGGAGCGUAGAUGGGUUGUUAAGUCAGUUGUGAAAGUUUGCGGCUCAACCGUAAAAUUGCAAUUGAUACUGGCAGUCUUGCGUACAGUUGAGGUAGGCGGCCUUCGUGGUGUAGCGGU